rnacentral:ncRNA from 1 species
CGACAUACGGGGAGCUAGGACGCGCGGCCCACACACCGGCCGCCGGGACCGCGCCGAGCCACCGGCGAGACCGACCCGCGAAGACG